UCAGUUUUAUUCAGUAAACAAAGUGUUUUUGUCAACGUUUGUUGUGUCGGCCACGCUAUGAGUAAAUACAUCUGCAUUGCUACUAUCCUGUUACUUGUUCAAGUGCAGUUCCUGGAAGCAAUGAACAGCCCUUAUACUGGAACACGAUUCCCGAGAGAUACGAGUGGUGAAGGAGAAACUGUCAAACGCGUUCCCUGCAUUACGGCGAGGGGAGAAUUCGGAAAAUGCAUCUCGUCUGUUCUAUGUGACAGAACACCACAUAUAGAUGACAGCGACAGUGAUUCAAAAUACUGCCCACAUUAUAUGGAAGUGUGCUGUACUCAAAAAGAUAUAAUCCGUCUUCAUGAUGUUCCAAGUUCGUAGAGAAGUAGAAAUAUUUGGACACAUCACUAACAUGGCAUUAACAAGAUGGGCUCAGACUUUCCAAGAAACACCAAAAUAUGAGACGACAACUUCAAUUAGAACCCAAAAAUUAUUCUAUUUCUUCUAGAUUAUAAAUAUAAGCUUCUU